rnacentral:rRNA from 1 species
UACGUAGGGUUCAAGCGUUAUCCGGAAUCACUGGGCGUAAAGGGCGCGUAGGCGGCCUGAUAAGUAGGGGGUGAAAUCCUGCGGCUUAACCGCAGGGCUGCCUUCUAAACUGUCAGGCUAGAGCACAGUAGAGGCAGGUGGAAUUCCCGGUGUAGCGGUGGAAUGCGUAGAGAUCGGGAAGAACAUCAGUGGCGAAGGCGGCCUGCUGGGCUGUUGCUGACGCUGAGGCGCGACAGCGUGGGGAGCAAACAGG